GGGGGAGCCCAGGGAGGGCUUUGGGGGGGGGAUGUGAUCUUAUUUGUACAUUUAGAGAUUGUAAGGGCGGUUCGACAGAGAAUUACUGUGUGACCCACAAUUCCCCUCCUAGGCAUAUACCUAAAAGAAUUGAAAACAGGGACUCAGAUAGAUACUUGCACUCUGGUGUUCACAGCAGCAUUAUUCACAAAAGCUGGAAAACAGAAACAACCCAAAUGUCCAUCAGUGGAUGAACAGAUAAACGGUGCCAAACACAUUCACGCAACGGAACAUUACUGAGCCGUCAAAAGGAAGCGCUGAUACACACGGCAUGGAUGAACCUUGAAAAACUAUGCUGCUUGAAAGUCAGACAUAAAAGGCCACGUGCCUGUGAUCCCAUUGACAUGAAAUGUCCACAACAGUUGCCCCUCAGUGGGAACAGGCACCAGGUCCACAAAAAACACCUGCACGACAUUCGUAGCAGCUUCCUCGUCACUGCCAGACGCGGGACAGCAGCAGCGUAGCUGGCCCGGCAAACGGAAGACAGGCUGGGGCAUCUUCUCGCCGUGGAGGAUGACGCCACGUGAGAAAGAGCCAGCACCGUGCGCGGAGAAUUAACCCUGUGACAUGAUGAACCCCCAAAACAUCACGCUGAGUGAAAGGGCCAGACACAGAAGGCCGCGGAGUGAGUGACUCAGUUGACGUGCAAGUCCAGGACAGGAACGUCCACAGAGACACCUGCAGGGUCAGCCCUGCGAGGAGCCGGCGGAGGUCAGAGGCCAGCCGCAGAUGGGCAGGGACCGGGGCGUUCUGACGUGGACGCGGAAUGACAACUGCUCAGUGGCCAUGGAGGGAGGAGGACACGAUGCUGGUCCAGCUGGAGGAGGGGCUCCCACGUUUCCCCGGCUGCCCACAGGGGCGUGGGCUUCCUGAGGCUCGGCCUGCGCGGGAGACUGAGGGCCGUGAGGUGGCAUUUGGGCCUCGGCCUCCCCGAGCCCCGCAGGGAAGCUGCCCCACCCCCGGGUCAGGGCUGGGCUGUGGGCCUGUCGUGGGCCGAGUGGUGGCCCCCACAAGAUAUGUCUGCCUAGACCUGUGAGUAUGACUUUAUAUGGGAACGGGGUCUUUGCAGAAGUAAUUAAGUUCAGGAUCUUGGAUGAGCUCCUCCUGGAUUGUGGGGCCUGAACCCAGUGACAAGUGUCCUGAGAAGAGAGGAGAGGGGGCAGGGAGACUGGAGGGACGUGGCCAUAAGCCCAGGACCACCCGCAGCUGGAGGAGGUGAGGAAGGGCCCCCCGGGCCUCGGCAGGGCACGGCCCUGCCGAUGCCUGGGUCUCAACUCUGUCCUCCAGAGCAGUGAGGGGAUAAACUGCUGCCUGCUCAUGGCCCUUCAUUAGGGCUGCCAGAGGACACUAGCACGGCCCUGCGACAUCCGGAGCCCUGGGGGGCUAGUGGGACAGGGACAGGCAGCCGCAGAAUGGGCCAUCCCAGUGCGCUGGAGGAGGGCAUCGAGGGACUAUCAGCAAGUAACAAACACGCCAAGCAGCCAAGUCUAGAACACCAACUGCGUCAGCAAUGGCACAUGUGACCUUCAGCGUCAGUGUCAGGGAGACAGUAAGGAGUGGUGGGGACUGUGGUGAGGGACAGUGAGAAUUGUCAGCAUCUGUCAGCACUUGCUAAGCCCUUUCCUUACACAGCAUUAACUUGCUGAUCCUCGCAGCAGCUUUAGAAGCAGAUGCUCCCAUUAUCCCCGUUUCCCGGGGGUUAACUUUGGGAUGGGGCCGUAUCAGCCAGGGCCCCAUGAAAACAGGUGCUACUUUCCGAUUGGGUCAUUUGAGCAGAGCUCAAUGAAGGGACAAAUGUAUGAAGUGUGGCAGACGUAGGGAACCUCAGGGUAUCAUGCCGAGCCAUGAGCCAGGAAACAUGGGGGCCAUUAGCACCCGUAGGUCUGGGAGGCGAGAGGAGGGGCAGUUACCAGAACCUGGAGAGGUCACAGGCUGCGUGGAUGGUGUGGACCCGUGACCUCUGACAGGGAUGCAGCCGACCCUCAGGGGCCACAGGUGAAGGGGCCAAGCUGGGGAAUGAAUGUCCCCACUCCCCGUCCUACGCAGGGGUCCUCACAGGACAAACCCAACCUGAGCCAGAGGACCCAGGAGCCGGUGGGUGGGGUCCACACAGUCCCGCUCCCAGGACACCAGGCGAGGGGGAGAGGCGGAAGAUUCCAGAACAGGAACAUUGAGUGAUUGCAACCCAGGCAGUCUGGGUCCAGAGUAGCCCUAACCACUCACCACUCGAGAACUGGCAGCACUGUGCCCUGGCCGGGCAGCCUGUGGGAGUGUGGCCUCCACUUUACGGAGCCUGCGUCUCUCAACGGAAAGCCAGGGAUCCAGAUUUUUAAUCCCCUGAUAUUUCAAAGCUAGCAACUCAUUACCAUUUUUUAAACCCCUGCAUGGGCAGAUCAAAUCACAUCUGUGGGCUGGAUUGGGCUCUGAACCGUCAAGCCCACACUCAGGAGGUGGACACGGAGCACCAGGGCAGCCAGGGGCACCAUGGUGGGGGGGAG
ensembl:lncRNA